GACGAACCGUGCGAACGUUGUUCGGAAUCACUGGGCUUAAAGGGCGCGUAGGCGGGCUUGCAAGUCUGCGGUGAAAGCCUCCAGCUUAACUGGAGAAGUGCCGUGGAUACUGCGAGCCUCGAGGAGGGUAGGGGCGUCUGGAACGUUGGGUGCAGCGGUGAAAUGCGUUGAUAUCCAACGGAACUCCGGUGGCGAAGGCGAGGCGCUGGACCCUUUCUGACGCUGAGGCGCGAAAGCCAGGGGAGCGAACGGG
rnacentral:rRNA from 1 species